ACUGCUGCCCUGAUAGUCGG
rnacentral:miRNA from 1 species